rnacentral:ncRNA from 1 species
CCCACUGAAUUUAAGCAUAUUAGCAGAGAAAAAGAAACCAGGAUUCCUUUAGUAAGGACGAGUGAACAAGGAAAAUCCCAGCGCCGAAUCCCCGCCACUCGGUGGGGCUCAGGAAAUGCGGGUAUGGAAGACCCACUCCCCGGCGGUCUUCUGAUCCAGGCCCAGCCCGUGCAGGUGUGAGGCGUGUAGCGGACCCGGCGCACUGGGCCCUGGUCUCCCCGGCGUGGGGUUGCUUGGGAAUGCAGCCCAAAGCGGUGGAAACUCCAUCUAAGGCUAGAAGUACCGGCACAAGACCCAUAGUCAACAGGUACUGUAAGGGAAGAUUGAGAAGAGCUUUGAAGUGAGUUCAAGAGGGCCAUUAAGAGGUAAAUGGGUGGGGUCCACGCAGUCCGCCCGGAGAUGCAA